UACGUAGGGUGCGAGCGUUAAUCGGGAAUUACUGGGCGUAAAGCGUGCGCAGGCGGUUCGUUGUGUCUGUGGUGAAAGCCCCGGGCUUAACCUGGGAAUGGCCAUGGAAACUGGCGAGCUGGAGUGUGGCAGAGGGGGGUGGAAUUCCGCGUGUAGCAGUGAAAUGCGUAGAGAUGCGGAGGAACACCGAUGGCGAAGGCAGCCCCCUGGGUUGACACUGACGCUCAGGCACGAAAGCGUGGGGAGCAAACAGG
rnacentral:rRNA from 1 species